rnacentral:rRNA from 1 species
GAUGAACGCUGGCGGCGUGCUUAACACAUGCAAGUCGAACGGAAAGGCCCAAGCUUGCUUGGGUACUCGAGUGGCGAACGGGUGAGUAACACGUGGGUGAUCUGCCCUGCACUUCGGGAUAAGCCUGGGAAACUGGGUCUAAUACCGGAUAGGACCACUUCUUGGAUGUUGUGGUGGAAAGUUUUUUCGGUGUGGGAUGAGCUCGCGGCCUAUCAGCUUGUUGGUGGGGUAAUGGCCUACCAAGGCGUCGACGGGUAGCCGGCCUGAGAGGGUGUACGGCCACAUUGGGACUGAGAUACGGCCCAGACUCCUACGGGGGGCAGCAGUGGGGAAUAUUGCACAAGGGGCGCAAGCCUGAUGCAGCGACGCCGCGUGGGGGAUGACGGCCUUCGGGUUGUAAACUCCUUUCGCUAGGGACGAAGCGUUUUGUGACGGUACCUGGAGAAGAAGCACCGGCUAACUACGUG